rnacentral:tRNA from 1 species
GGAGGAAUAGCUCAGUGGUAGAGCACUUGCUUGCCUAGCACUUAUAAGGCCUUGGGUUCAAUCCACAGUGCCCCCU